ACCCCUUCAAGGACCGGGCAGCAUGAGUGAAACCUCUCCGGGAGGCAGGGCCAAACGUGGCGACAUGUGCUUAAUUCCGUCUCUAUAAAUAGAUCAGCAUGAGUGAUGUCACUGUGACCGAGUACAAAGAAACCACAGCAGCAGCGGUGAAAAGACUAUGGCGAGAGCGGUACACAAAAACACACACUGAGGUUCACUGAGUCACAUUUAACAAGGCACAGCUUCCUCAGUGCAACUGACCUGGAAGGGUUUUUUCUUUUUCACCAAGACCCCCUGGUGUUGUUGGAGCAGCUUCAUGGACGUCCCAUGACCCUUGACCUCCUCAUUAGAAGCUUGAAAAAACAAAACCAACAGAACAAAAAGGCCUCGGGAGAAGCAUCGCCAUCACUUUUUUACUUCAAAACAACAGGAAACAAAGACACUAAUAUUUGAGAUACAAAAGCACUUUCCUAAAACAAUUAAAACAACAAAACAAGAAGGGUUUCUGUCCCAGCGCAGCUGCCAUCACGCUGUUUCAAUGAAGCCUUUUUUUCCCUAGCCGAAAAGACAUUUCAGUUACAGUCCAAUAAAAACAGAUUUUGAAUCUUAAUUUCAAUCUCCAAAUCCUCCUCUGAUUUCUUAAAUAUGAAAAGCAUUUUAAAAAAUCAUUCAGGGGUUUCAAAGGCAAUAAUUCAAAUAACUGUAUUUGUUUUCUCUCACAGAAUUUGUAAUGUCUGUCUUUGUGGUUUGACAUGGUGAUAGAUUACCAAGUUUAACUCAAACACUGCAUAAUCAUGAGUGAGGAAUUAGCCAUCAACCAACAGUAAACAUUGCUCACAGAAGCAUUAGAGGAAAGCUGCUGGCAUGGAUACCAGGCAGUUAGUCUGAUUUUUUUUUAUAGAAAUUAUACAGAAAAAAACACUAUUAAACCUUCUAUUUAGGACCGCAGGGGAUAAAUACUGCAGGGACUUAAAUACUGUUUAUCCUCCAAAGCCUAAUCACACCAUUAAGAAAUCUCUACUUUGCAAAACAAACAGAGAAAGUCAAAGAACACAAACACUUUCAGAACAUCGACAGCAAGCAGGGAAGCAAAUACGGAAAUACACAGAUUGUGAAACAAACAACAUAACAUGAGAAAGGGGGGGGAAAGGAUCAUUCCAUAUUUAUUUCUGAAUAAAAGGAUUUCACACAUUCUGAGGAAAUAGUUGCCGCGGCCUUUAAAUUGGAUUAUUGUGUUGUAAGGUUGACCUUGCCGUGAAAAUAACCACUGUUGGCAGGACGUUUGAAUUCCCUGUCAUUAAUGUGGCAAACUGUU